rnacentral:rRNA from 1 species
AAAACUUUCAACAACGGAUCUCUUGGUUCUGGCAUCGAUGAAGAACGCAGCGAAAUGCGAUAAGUAAUGUGAAUUGCAGAAUUCAGUGAAUCAUCGAAUCUUUGAACGCACAUUGCGCCCGCCAGUAUUCUGGCGGGCAUGCCUGUCCG